ACACCUCAACUCUCACGGUUUGCCGUGAUGAGCUUGGACUUUGGGGGUCUUGCUGGCCUGCAGGUCGGCUCCUCUCAAAUGAAUCAGCUUGCCGGUGUUUGGCGGGAUCACAGGUGUGAUAACUAUCUACGCUUGUGGUUUUCCACCAGGUAACCCUCAGCAAUGGAGGUUCACCGGAGCUUACAAAUGUCUCUCCCCAGCGAGGACAGAUUUUGACC
rnacentral:misc_RNA from 1 species